rnacentral:rRNA from 2 species
UUAAGCGACUAAGCGUACACGGUGGAUGCCCUGGCAGUCAGAGGCGAUGAAGGACGUGCUAAUCUGCGAAAAGCGCCGGCGAGGUGAUAUGAACCUUUGACCCGGCGAUGUCCGAAUGGGGAAACCCAGUGCAAUCCGUUGCACUAUCGUUAACUGAAUACAUAGGUUAACGAGGCGAACCGGGGGAACUGAAACAUCUAAGUACCCCGAGGAAAAGAAAUCAACCGAGAUUCCCCCAGUAGCGGCGAGCGAACGGGGAGCAGCCCGGAGUCUGAAUCAGCUUGUGUGUUAGUGGAACGGUCUGGAAAGUCCGACGGUACAGGGUGAUAGUCCCGUACACGAAAGCACACUUGCUGUGAACUCGAAGAGUAGGGCGGGACACGUGGUAUCCUGUCUGAAUAUGGGGGGACCAUCCUCCAAGGCUAAAUACUCCUGACUGACCGAUAGUGAACCAGUACCGUGAGGGAAAGGCGAAAAGAACCCCGGCGAGGGGAGUGAAAAAGAACCUGAAACCGUGUACGUACAAGCAGUGGGAGCCUCUUUAUGGGGUGACUGCGUACCUUUUGUAUAAUGGGUCAGCGACUUAUAUUCUGUAGCAAGGUUAACCGUAUAGGGGAGCCGAAGGGAAACCGAGUCUUAACUGGGCGUUAAGUUGCAGGGUAUAGACCCGAAACCCGGUGAUCUAGCCAUGGGCAGGUUGAAGGUUGGGUAACACUAACUGGAGGACCGAACCGACUAAUGUUGAAAAAUUAGCGGAUGACCUGUGGCUGGGGGUGAAAGGCCAAUCAAACCGGGAGAUAGCUGGUUCUCCCCGAAAGCUAUUUAGGUAGCGCCUCGUGAACUCAUCUUCGGGGGUAGAGCACUGUUUCGGCUAGGGGGCCAUCCCGGCUUACCAACCCGAUGCAAACUACGAAUACCGAAGAAUGUUAUCACGGGAGACACACGGCGGGUGCUAACGUCCGUCGUGAAGAGGGAAACAACCCAGACCGCCAGCUAAGGUCCCAAAGUCAUGGUUAAGUGGGAAACGAUGUGGGAAGGCACAGACAGCCAGGAUGUUGGCUUAGAAGCAGCCAUCAUUUAAAGAAAGCGUAAUAGCUCACUGGUCGAGUCGGCCUGCGCGGAAGAUGUAACGGGGCUAAACCAUGCACCGAAGCUGCGGCAGCGACACUAUGUGUUGUUGGGUAGGGGAGCGUUCUGUAAGCCGUUGAAGGUGUCCUGUGAGGGGUGCUGGAGGUAUCAGAAGUGCGAAUGCUGACAUAAGUAACGAUAAAGCGGGUGAAAAGCCCGCUCGCCGGAAGACCAAGGGUUCCUGUCCAACGUUAAUCGGGGCAGGGUGAGUCGACCCCUAAGGCGAGGCCGAAAGGCGUAGUCGAUGGGAAACAGGUUAAUAUUCCUGUACUUGGUGUUACUGCGAAGGGGGGACGGAGAAGGCUAUGUCAGCCGGGCGACGGUUGUCCCGGUUUAAGCAUGUAGGCGGAGGUUCCAGGUAAAUCCGGUACCUUAUUAACGCUGAGGUGUGAUGACGAGGCACUACGGUGCUGAAGUGAUAAAUGCCCUGCUUCCAGGAAAAGCCUCUAAGCAUCAGGUAACACGAAAUCGUACCCCAAACCGACACAGGUGGUCAGGUAGAGAAUACCAAGGCGCUUGAGAGAACUCGGGUGAAGGAACUAGGCAAAAUGGUGCCGUAACUUCGGGAGAAGGCACGCUGAUAUGUAGGUGAAGUCCCUGCGGACGGAGCUGAAAUCAGUCGAAGAUACCAGCUGGCUGCAACUGUUUAUUAAAAACACAGCACUGUGCAAACACGAAAGUGGACGUAUACGGUGUGACGCCUGCCCGGUGCCGGAAGGUUAAUUGAUGGGGUUAGCGGCAACGCGAAGCUCUUGAUCGAAGCCCCGGUAAACGGCGGCCGUAACUAUAACGGUCCUAAGGUAGCGAAAUUCCUUGUCGGGUAAGUUCCGACCUGCACGAAUGGCGUAAUGAUGGCCAGGCUGUCUCCACCCGAGACUCAGUGAAAUUGAACUCGCUGUGAAGAUGCAGUGUACCCGCGGCAAGACGGAAAGACCCCGUGAACCUUUACUAUAGCUUGACACUGAACACUGGUCCUUGAUGUGUAGGAUAGGUGGGAGGCUUUGAAGCGUGGACGCCAGUCUGCGUGGAGCCAACCUUGAAAUACCACCCUUUAAUGGCUGGUGUUCUAACGUAGACCCGUAAUCCGGGUUGCGGACAGUGUCUGGUGGGUAGUUUGACUGGGGCGGUCUCCUCCCAAAGAGUAACGGAGGAGCACGAAGGUUGGCUAAUCCUGGUCGGACAUCAGGAGGUUAGUGCAAUGGCAUAAGCCAGCUUGACUGCGAGCGUGACGGCGCGAGCAGGUGCGAAAGCAGGUCAUAGUGAUCCGGUGGUUCUGAAUGGAAGGGCCAUCGCUCAACGGAUAAAAGGUACUCCGGGGAUAACAGGCUGAUACCGCCCAAGAGUUCAUAUCGACGGCGGUGUUUGGCACCUCGAUGUCGGCUCAUCACAUCCUGGGGCUGAAGUAGGUCCCAAGGGUAUGGCUGUUCGCCAUUUAAAGUGGUACGCGAGCUGGGUUUAGAACGUCGUGAGACAGUUCGGUCCCUAUCUGCCGUGGGCGCUGGAGAAUUGAGGGGGGCUGCUCCUAGUACGAGAGGACCGGAGUGGACGCAUCACUGGUGUUCGGGUUGUCAUGCCAAUGGCACUGCCCGGUAGCUAAAUGCGGAAAAGAUAAGUGCUGAAAGCAUCUAAGCACGAAACUUGCCCCGAGAUGAGUUCUCCCUGAGACCUUGAGUCUCCUGAAGGAACGUUGAAGACUACGACGUUGAUAGGUCGGGUGUGUAAGCGCAGCGAUGCGUUGAGCUAACCGAUACUAAUGAACCGUGAGGCUUAACCUU